AGGACAAACGCUGGCGGCGUGCCUAAGACAUGCAAGUCGGACGGGGGGCUUCGGCUCCUAGUGGCGGACGGGUGAGGAACGCGUGGAGAACCUGCCCCGGGGUGGGGGAUACCCGCCAGAAAUGGCGGUUAAGACCGCAUACGACGGCCCCGUGCAGGCGGGGUUGGGAAAGCAGCGAUGUGCCCUGGGAGGGCUCCGCGUCGGAUUAGCUGGUUGGUGGGGUAACGGCCUACCAAGGCGACGAUCCGUAGCUGGUCUGAGAGGACGGCCAGCCACACUGGGACUGAGACACGGCCCAGACUCCUACGGGAGGCAGCAGUUAGGGAAUUUUGACAAUGGGCGCAAGCCUGAUCGAGUGACGCCGCGUGCGGGAUGACGCCUUUCGGGGUGUAAACCGCUUUUCCCAGGGACGAGGAUGGACGGUACCUGGGGAAGAAGUCUCGGCUAACUACGUGCCAGCAGCCGC
rnacentral:rRNA from 1 species